UACAGAGGCCUCAAGCGUUAGGCGGAAUCACUGGGCUUAAAGCGUGUGUAGGUGGAUGCCUAAGUACCUUGUGAAAUCCCACGGCUUAACCAUGGAAUUGCUUGGUAUACUGGGUGUCUUGAGCCACUCAGGGGCUACCGGAACAAACGGUGGAGCGGUGAAAUGCGUAGAUAUCGUUUGGAACGCCAAUGGUGAAAACAGGUAGCUGGGGGUGUGCUGACACUGAGACACGAAAGCCAGGGGAGCAAACGGG
rnacentral:rRNA from 1 species